rnacentral:rRNA from 1 species
AAAUUGAAGAGUUUGAUCAUGGCUCAGAUUGAACGCUGGCGGCAGGCCUAACACAUGCAAGUCGAACGGUAACAGGAAUCAGCUUGCUGAUUCGCUGACGAGUGGCGGACGGGUGAGUAAUGUCUGGGAAACUGCCUGAUGGAGGGGGAUAACUACUGGAAACGGUAGCUAAUACCGCAUAACGUCGCAAGACCAAAGAGGGGGACCUUCGGGCCUCUUGCCAUCGGAUGUGCCCAGAUGGGAUUAGCUAGUAGGUGGGGUAACGGCUCACCUAGGCGACGAUCCCUAGCUGGUCUGAGAGGAUGACCAGCCACACUGGAACUGAGAUACGGUCCAGACUCCUACGGGAGGCAGCAGUGGGGAAUAUUGCACAAUGGGCGCAAGCCUGAUGCAGCCAUGCCGCGUGUAUGAAGAAGGCCUUCGGGUUGUAAAGUACUUUCAGCGGGGAGGAAGGGAGUAAAGUUAAUACCUUUGCUCAUUGACGUUACCCGCAGAAGAAGCACCGGCUAACUCCGUGCCAGCAGCCGCGGUAAUACGGAGGGUGCAAGCGUUAAUCGGAAUUACUGGGCGUAAAGCGCACGCAGGCGGUUUGUUAAGUCAGAUGUGAAAUCCCCGGGCUCAACCUGGGAACUGCAUCUGAUACUGGCAAGCUUGAGUCUCGUAGAGGGGGGUAGAAUUCCAGGUGUAGCGGUGAAAUGCGUAGAGAUCUGGAGGAAUACCGGUGGCGAAGGCGGCCCCCUGGACGAAGACUGACGCUCAGGUGCGAAAGCGUGGGGAGCAAACAGGAUUAGAUACCCUGGUAGUCCACGCCGUAAACGAUGUCGACUUGGAGGUUGUGCCCUUGAGGCGUGGCUUCCGGAGCUAACGCGUUAAGUCGACCGCCUGGGGAGUACGGCCGCAAGGUUAAAACUCAAAUGAAUUGACGGGGGCCCGCACAAGCGGUGGAGCAUGUGGUUUAAUUCGAUGCAACGCGAAGAACCUUACCUGGUCUUGACAUCCACAGAACUUUCCAGAGAUGGAUUGGUGCCUUCGGGAACUGUGAGACAGGUGCUGCAUGGCUGUCGUCAGCUCGUGUUGUGAAAUGUUGGGUUAAGUCCCGCAACGAGCGCAACCCUUAUCCUUUGUUGCCAGCGGUCCGGCCGGGAACUCAAAGGAGACUGCCAGUGAUAAACUGGAGGAAGGUGGGGAUGACGUCAAGUCAUCAUGGCCCUUACGACCAGGGCUACACACGUGCUACAAUGGCGCAUACAAAGAGAAGCGACCUCGCGAGAGCAAGCGGACCUCAUAAAGUGCGUCGUAGUCCGGAUUGGAGUCUGCAACUCGACUCCAUGAAGUCGGAAUCGCUAGUAAUCGUGGAUCAGAAUGCCACGGUGAAUACGUUCCCGGGCCUUGUACACACCGCCCGUCACACCAUGGGAGUGGGUUGCAAAAGAAGUAGGUAGCUUAACCUUCGGGAGGGCGCUUACCACUUUGUGAUUCAUGACUGGGGUGAAGUCGUAACAAGGUAACCGUAGGGGAACCUGCGGUUGGAUCACCUCCUUA